rnacentral:lncRNA from 1 species
CGGCCUCCAUUUCGUCCAGGUAAGCCUGUUCUUUCAGGUCCGUGUAUUUCUUGAACGAACUCGAGAUUAAGUCAUUCAUCUUGCCACCAAAAUAUUUAACCUCACAAUCUACUCUUCUUUUUCCUCUUCUUCUUUUAUGGGAUUAAUAUUGGUUAUGUUUUACCCAAAUGGGUUGAUGGAACUAUACAUGAACUAAUCUAAAUUGUAAUGAAAUUUGGGAUUAUAUUUUUAUGAGAAAUGGGACAAUGUUUGUUUGUUCUUUUUCCCUCAUCAUCAACUGCUGCAAUUGGCAAUGGAGGAAGAGGAACAAAGAGAAGAGGGAGAGGUGGUGACAACAGGGAAAACUGUCACCAAUCGAAGCAUCAAAAAGGGUACAAAAUGGCUAAUUUUUCCCUUGUUUUUUGGUUGGUAAUGAAAUUACAGGUAUUGGACAAGCAUGAACUAAAAAUAGGGGAUUUUUACAACUUUUAUUUUUUGAAGUUCGAUACCAAAAUAUCUUUGGUUGACGUUGUCAAUGGAUAUCCUUAUUUUUAUCCAUCAUUCACUAUCCUCAAAUCUCUUAAUCCCCCUUCUUAAUGCUCACUAACUUUAUUUUGUUUAUUAAAAGCUCCUAAACUUGGUCAGAAUUAGUCAAUGAUGAAAACUCCUGUGUUUUUAUUUCAAUUUAAGUUAAUUUCCAACUUAAUCUUUUAUUGGUUUCAUGUUUUUCUAACUUAAAUCAUUUUAAGUUUGGAUUAUUUCGAGCUUAAAUUAUUUUAAAUUCAAAUUAAUAAUUUGUUUGAUUUUUAUAGUCAAAUUGGGUUUGGAUCAUUUCGAAUUGUUUCAAAUUCUUUAAUGUAAAAUUUAAAUAUUGUAAAAAUUUUGUUGAGCCCAUGAUUCAACAGUAUUUUUUUACAUAAUUCAAUCAAUUGUGCACCGAUUUUGACAAUGAUGGUCAAAGCAAUACGAAUCGGUCAGAUCAAAUUUUUGAAUUGGAGACAAAAUUGGUAGGCAAAGAUUAUAAAAUCAUUACUCCUAAGCAAACUUUUCUAUUUCGCCGCAUAAUAUAAAUAGUAUGCAAGGCAACAAAAUAAUGUAAAAUCAACAAAAUGCAAUUUCUCUUUAACUUGCAUUCUCUAUUCUUCUUGAUGUAUAUAUAUAUAUAUAGCAAGGUGAGCUCCUAAAAUGAACUACACUAGCUUCGACCUCCAUUCUGCAUCGGCAGCAUCUCAGAUAUUACUGCAGAGAAAAUGAUCGAAAACUGACUUAUCGAUUUCUUUUUAUGUCCAUGGAAGAACAAUGCUGAUGAAGAUGUAUGUUUAACCAAAACUGUGGUUGAUGUAGUUAAUAGGAUAUAGUGCAUUGAUCUAACCGGUGGCUGAUGUGGGUGCAAACGUUUUAAUAGGGAAAAUUGCUGGAUGGUCCAUGUCAGCAUCUCGAUGACUGGCUCUAAGAUCGAUGCUACUGUUGAUUUUUCCUAAUUCCGUUCCGCUGCCAGGUUGCGUCUGAGUAACUUCUAUGUUACUGUUGCCACUGGAGCUCAAAAUACUUUGCUGCCUAUGGUAUUUGUCGGUGGCACCUUGAAGCAAUCUCAUCGUGCCGCCGGAAUCUGAACCAGGUGAGAGCUCUUCUUCUCGCUCCGGCUGGAUAUUCAAGUCAAUUUGGCCUUUAAAGGGUGAACUCGAGGACUUUAACCUGUUAGUAUCAUCAUCCAAAUUCUCGCUGACAACCUUUUCCGGGUUCAGACUGCUGUUUCCCGCACUAGUAGUGCAAGGGAGAGGCUCAUCGUCCACUACUUUAUCGGGCAAUGAAGGCUGCUGCUUCUUGCGUGUAGCGUCUGCUUCUUUUUGCGAUUGUUUCUUCUCACGCCGCAGCAUUAGGGUGCGGAAGCGU